UACAGAGGUCCCAAGCGUUGUUCGGAUUUAUUGGGCGUAAAGGGUGCGUAGGCGGUCGCCUAAGUCAGAUGUGAAAUCCCGGGGCUCAACCUCGGAACUGCAUUUGAUACUGGGUGACUCGAGUACUGGAGAGGAGACUGGAAUUUACGGUGUAGCAGUGAAAUGCGUAGAUAUCGUAAGGAAGACCAGUGGCGAAGGCGAGUCUCUGGACAGUUACUGACGCUGAGGCACGAAGGCCAGGGGAGCAAACGGG
rnacentral:rRNA from 1 species